rnacentral:lncRNA from 1 species
CCUGAUCAGCCCCUGCAACAUCAGCAAACGUGACACCAGUCUCAGGAACCUCCUGAAACUUCGAUUUCGACCUCCCAAAAUCCAUAGGCCCCCCUAACCCCCCAGGUCCUCCAGGCCCUCCCUGAGACCUCUGAAACAAAAAGAACAACCCAGCAAAAGCAAGAAACGGAAACACCAAAUUCCCAAUAAAUCCAAGCAACCCAUUGCUUGCUUCACCCUCAGAAACCGAAAUAUCGACACCAUUCAU